rnacentral:lncRNA from 1 species
UAACAGAUUAAAUGACAUCAGUUUCAUAUUUAAUUAAUACUAUGCAAUUUUCGCUUUUACAAGGGUUUUUGUGAUUAUUUAAUUGAUUAGCCGUAAACCAUUUGUUACUAUUUAAAGCUAUAAUUGUGUUUUUUCUUAUCGUAGUUUCGUGAGUUUAUAAUCUGCAUGUGGUGUUGUGGUGAUUGAUUAACUUAGGGUUCUAGGAUGUAAAUGUAAUUUCAUAGAGAUCUCUGCUUCGAUUAUAGUUGAAGAUAACGGAUUAACAUGAACCUAAUAUAUGUUCAGAUCCAAAUUACCACUUAAUGCACAUAAAUAAUAAUAUUUGUAAAAGCUACUUCUACGUGAGAAGUGAGUGUAGAUCCUAAAAUCUUACGCUAAGAAUUUGAUAGUGAUUGGGAGUUCAAUCUAGGGAAAAAAUAAUGUGGGUAACGAUAUCCUCAGAACACAACGAUAUAAUAAGGCCUGAGUCGACGAAAAUGAACUAUAUUCGUAGGUCGAAUAUCAUAGAUAUAUCGGGAGAAUGAAGCAUCGUGACUGAACUCGGGAUCGAGCUGCCUACGUACCCUUCAAGGGAUCAAAUCUAAACGUAGUUUGGUUAUCAUCAUCUCGAAAGAGAUAUCGGUUUCACUGGUCUCGAGCGUGACAUCGACUUCUUCGGUUCUCGAGAGAGACGUCGGUUUAUCUCUUACCAUCUUGGACGAGAGAUCGUUUGAGUUUGGUCGGGAAGUCUUUAGGAACUCACGGUUCAAUAUCGGUGAACAAGGACUCGUGUCUUGUUCAUUGUGGUGGAGAGAAUUCGACGUUGUGAGCAUUACGUAGACGUCAUCGGGAUGGCGGUGAAGAAUGAUAUGGUCUCAGGUGAAUGACGCUAUAUCCCUCAAUAAGCCAUAAUCCUCUUUAAUUAAAUAGAAAGACCGUGAACAAUUGUAUUCAUGGCCGUGAGCCCUCGUGAGCUACAAAAGUGGGAUCCUUG